CUGAUGUAUCAUGGGCAUCCCAUAAAUAUGUGCAGGAUGAAUUGAUGGAUGGAUGGAUAUCUCAACAAUGGGAAAUGAAGAUGGUAAUCUUCCUCUUGCUUAACCUGCAUCACAACAGAAGUCAAGUAGGACCUAACCUGUGUGAGCAUCUCUCUCUAUGGUAGUCACCAAUUCCCAUGGUGAGAAUAGUAAGUCAAUAUUUUUCUUUCUUUCAACUAAUUUCCACUAGGCAAGACCUUCAUUUUCCAGGAUGAGCUGUGCCUGUUGACAGGUGAAUAGCAUCUAUGGUUCUAAUAAGAAAUAACAGGUAAGUGCCAAUUUAAAGUAGUGAAUGAGACAUACCACACAAAUGUAAUACUAAUUAAUGAAAUGUGCUUCAAUUCUGAUUAGAAUUUAUGUUGCAUGCCAGAAACAAUCCCCAAAACACAUCUCAAAGCCACAAGGAAAUAAGAAAACAAAAUUAUCUAACAGUAAGUUAAGAAUGCUUAGUAUUUUAGUAAGCUUUGGGAUUUCCAUCCAAUAUUGUACCAAGCACGCACACACGUGUCUCAGACACUUCCAGUCCAGGCAAAUGCUGAUUUGAAUGCUUGGACCUAAUUACCAACAGGAAAAUUAUGAAGAAGUCUCCACACAUAAGAUUGAGAGGAAGGCAACCAGGCCACAGUGACAGGCAGGCAUAGGGGGUGCUUAUCUGAGGUAUAAAAAGAAGAGAUUCCAGAAGAAAUUAGUAACUCCCACUGUCUGUGUAAGGAUGUGGUGCUGGGCUCCUGUCUAGAUUCUGUAAGUACUUCUGGGGAGACCACAAAAAUACAAGUGACCAUGAGAAUUGCCUGUCCAUAAAUGUGCUAGGUGAGGAAAGCCUCAUCAGCAUAAGAAACGAUCCCUUGAGAAUCAGAGCACAGGUGCCUGGCCAAGGGCAAAGCUUUGGCCACCUAACUCUUGGGCUCCUUACCAAACUCAGAGAAUAAGCUCUUUGGCAAAUCUCCCCAGUUAAUAAGCUCUCUGAAACAGCAAGAUAAAAAGCACAGCAAACCCAAAGAGAGCUCUUCUCUGAAAGACUGCAGGCUGCCAUCCAGUCUCGACAGAACCCACUCUAAUGCUUACUUAUGACAACAGGGUAAUGCAUGUGAUUUGUGAAGUGCUGGACUUUUGUUUUAAAGAUUAUAUUCUUAAUUACUAUUUAAGGAUGUAGAAUAUCCUUAUGUCAUGGUAUAUACUAUACUAAGUGCAAGUGUAUAUAUUAGUAGGUGGCAUAGGAUUAUAACUACAAAACACUUUAUACACCUAAACACACACACACACUCAAAUCCAUGCAAAACACUACAUGGAUAUACUCCCUUACUAUAACAAUACCAAAAACUGAAUUUAUUUUUAUUCUUCUUGUGAAUCCAUAUGUUGUAUAAGAAAAUAUUUAAAUGGACUUUUUUCAGGAUAUAUCCAGAAUCCAUACAAUCCACCAUUACUUCCACCUGGUCUGACCCUCCAUCAGCAUUCCCCUAGAAGCCAUAUUAACCUACUACAAAUAUGUGGCAUGAUAUGUGUUUGUUAGUCAAUCCUCUCCUAAACAGAUAAUAAAUUCCAUGAGACUAAUGUUCAUAUUUUGUUCAUUGUUCCUCUGAACCUUUAUCAGUAGCUGAUGUAUCAAAGGCAUACCAUAAAUAUGUGCAGGAUGAACUAAUGGAUGGAUGGAUAUCUCAACAAUGGGAAAUGAAGAUGGUAAUCUUCCUCCUGCAUCACAACAAAAGUCAAGUAGGACCUAACCUGUACAAGCACCUCUAUGAUAGUCACCAAUUCGCAUGGUAAGAUCAGCUUCCAGACUUGCCCAGCCUCAGCCCCAUAGUCUAUUCUCUGUAUAGAUGUGAAAAUGACCUUUUAAAUAUUAAAUCAAAUUCCUCUGUUCAAAAUUCCCCAGUGGCUGCACAGCACACUCAUUUCAUAACCUUCCCUAUUACUUGUCACACUUUAUCUCCUGUUACUAUCCUUGUCCUGACUCUUGUCCAACCACACUGGCUUCUUUAGCUGGACCCGAGACUUGCCAAACAUGCUUUCCCCUUUGCACAGACUGAUCCUUCUGGCUAGAACAGUCUUCCUUUAAAUAGCAACAUCUUCAAGUUUUUUGAACUUGAAGCUACUUGAACUGAGAUACAUCCCCAGCCCUUUUUAUUUUUAUUCUUUUGAGACAAGGUCUCCUUAAGUUACACAGGCUGGCCUUGAACUUGCAAUCCCCCUGCUUCUGUCUCCCAGAUCUCUGGAAUUAUAGGCAUGCACCAUGGCCCCUUCAAGUUUUUAAUGUGAAAUGUCACCUUCAGCAAACACUUCUGAAACAAUCCAGCCAUACCUCCAACAUAUCCCUUUCUCCAUUCACAGGCUCCAACAGUCUCCAGUUCUUUCCAGAGCCAUGGUGCAGAGUUGUAGGGGUAAGAUGGACAUAAAAUAAAAUGUGAAAGUACUCCCUGAAUUUGUGUGUACUGUGAAUACCUCAGUUUGUUUUUCUCAAGAGUUGUUAUCACCUAGCAUGUCAUAUUGUUUGUUACUAUUAUCUAUCUCCCCCGAUGAGACUGUCAGCUCACCAAGGGUAGAAAUGUCUAUUGCAUAUUUACUGCUAUAGCCCCAGUUCUUAGAACAAUACCUAGUACAUAGUAUAUACUAAAAAAUGAAUGAUUCACCAAAUAAAAACAAAUGAUUUUUAUUCUCUUCUGUAACUUAUCCCUAUUUUUCCUUUACUUUUAAAGCCAGAAAGAUGUAUAAAAAGGAAAAAAAAAUGUAUGAGAGUGCUCAUUUCCUUGUUCUUAUUCUUAGCCUGGGAAAUAAACUAAAUUUCUUCUGUAUUCAAAGUAAAGAACAACUAAAGAUGAACAUCUGUUUAAACUAUUGUUGAAUAAAAUGCCAAUAAAACAUAUCUAAGCUCUGCAGUUAUUUCCAUGGGUUUUCCCCACUCCCACUGACUUUGGUAUAGUUUCUGAUCAAUCAGGAUAGUGGGAGAUGACCCACUUUCAUAACAUCUGAAGCUAUUCAAUUUUUCUAUGAUACAAUUCCAUCAUGGGCCAAGUAGAAUGGUCCAGCAGAGAGAUGCUCUCACUUUCUCUCAAAAGGUUAUCCUUUUGGCUUUCUUUUGAGAUAGUGUUUCCUAGACAGGUGAAAAAUUGAAGCUUAUCUCUAAGGGCAAAGCUAUGUGAUGAAAACUUUUUCUCCCUUACCAAUCCUCC
rnacentral:lncRNA from 1 species